ACACCUAAAAUGUACCAAUAAAAGGAUAUAAAAAAAAAUUGAUCCCUUCAGGUCUUGCUUUUGAGAUGUGUUAGGUAAGUGGAGAGCAGUACUCAGUUCAGGCCCAAUUAUCCCCCGCUGCUAACCAAGGUCUCUUGAGCUCUAGCUGUGGCCUGUGAAUGAGAGAGUUUCCUGUCUGGCUGGUGGAAAGAGAUAGUAUUCUUGGAUGGGCUUGAACACCAGACGUACUGCCUUUCAUUUUGAGUAGUUUUUUCCCCUGCCCCUAGGAGUGGCCUCGCCUUACUGAUGAGCAUGAAGCUGAAGCCCCAAGGGGGAUCCCCGUUUCUCUCCCUGAGCAGCACCCUCUCUGCAGCCUCCUGGCCUGGGAACUCUAGUCUCUCUAGACCCCGCCUCUCAGCUGCAUCUCCUGGGCUCCUUGUCUGCAGGACUUUCCCUCACUGUGCUGUGAAAACUCUCACAGGCCUGAUCCGGGCCAUGGAAGACUCACUUCCUUUCCUUUUUCUCAGAGAUCAUUAUUGCUUGGUACUUAGUUGCUUUCAAACUUUUGUUUCACAUUUUCUAUCUCAGGUAUAAUGGCAAAUUUAAUCCUUGCAACUCCAUUUUGGUCAGACAAAACAAAAGUCUUAAUUUUUAAAGUUUUGAGUCCCUGAACUUCUAGCACAAAUGAUUAGUUUUUGUCUCAGCUUUUCCAGUGCUGUUUUCCCAAACUUAUUCUGUGAUACAAUAUUUGGACUUUUUGUUUGACGGGUUUUUAGAACAUGUUCCAAUUUCUGUUGUGGUGUUUAUUCUAGAUGCUGUUAAAAAAGAUAGUCAUGUUAAUUGGUAAAAUAUAGCUUUUAAAGGUAAGGGUAAAAUAGUAACAUUACUAUUAAGUAAUGUUAUUUUAAUAAGUAUUCCUUGAGCUUUUACUGCAGCUAGGCCUUCUGCCAAGUUGCAGAUAUGGUGACGAAUAAACAUUGAAUCUUUUUUUUGGCACUGGGGUUUGAACGUGGGUCCUCGCAUUUGCACAGCAGGUGGCGAAACCGCUGAGCUAAAUCCCUGGCCCAUGAAUAAACAUUGAAAGAGUGGCUGAGUAAAGUGACAGAGUGGACAGUAAAUGCAAAGGCCAGACACUGAGGGAAAACAAGGCAUCUUGGGGAAAGAGUGACUAGAUCUUCACGGGUCACCGUCUAGGAGAGACAGAUGCUCCUGUAAGACACAUCCCCAGAGUUUGAGCCCCACAGUGGUGGGAUCUGCUGAUCUUUAUAACAAAGGCUGGUGCCUUCUGAGCUGUCAUGAUACUUGUUACCCAUGGCUCCACAUGUGUUUUCUCAUUUCAGCAUCAAAACAACCCAGUGAGGAGAAAGUACACAUUGUUAUCUCCUUUGUAUACGGCAGAAACCCAAAACUUAGAGCAGCUAAGCCCAAAGUCAUGCCAUUGCCCUGGCUAAAGUGCAGACUCAGUUACACUCAGACUUUGACCACACAUUCAAUAUCCACAUUUCCCUACACGAUAGUUAGUCGCACAUUCAUGGGCAGCAAAUUAUUGCCUUUGAAAAAAAUGGCCUCAUACUAUGUGAAGUGAAAACCAAAGACUUUGCCCUCGAAGGCUCAGUCUGUAAUCAUGUUUUUCCUUUCUAGAACAUCUUUUAGCAAAAGAGAAUUUCUCAUAAAUAUUUCUACUUUUAUUCUAGUUUCCGUUUUUCUGUGUUAAAGCAAAAGUCACCUACCCUUGCUGUCACUGAGCAAUUGCUCCUCUCGUCUUCUCGAGCUCUUUUGUCGGUGUAACCACCGGCCUUCUUCCCCUUUAUAAUUUUCCUGUUAGUGCCUUGCUUCUGCUCUGGAAAAUGCUGGUCUGAGCUUUAGAGAACAGGAGCUUUUACAAGCCUCUAGAAUUUGAUUAGAUGCUUGAAUUUCACUUCAAGAAUAUAAUUUUUCUCAAAAGACACCAUCUCUUUUGCAAUAAUUUAAAAAAAUUGAGUGACUAUUAUGUGCCAGGUACUCUUUUUUUUGGUACCGGGGAUUGAACUCAGGUCCUUGUACUUGCACAGCAGGUGGUGAAACCGCUGAGCUAAGAGUACCCAGCUGUGCCAGGUACUCUUAGUACAACAGUGAACAAAGCCAAAUAAUAACAAUAAUGCCCAUACGACACUUACAUACUAGUGUGUAGAGUAUUGACUAUAAAUAAAUAAAUUAGACUAAAUAAAAAUUAUGAAAAACAAAGAAUAAAGCAGAAUUUAUUGCAUAUGGCAACUUCAUAUUAUAUACAAUUAUUUCAUUGCAACAGAUGGAAAAUAAAUCACUUGGGGCCUUUCCUCAUUUCAGAUUAGUUCAGGUGAUCCAAAACAGGAAAAGUUAAGAAAUUCGCUUUUGUUAAGGGUACACAUCUUAUGAUAUUCUUAUUUACUUUGAAACGUCUUUUUCUUAAAUUUCAAAAAUCAAUCUGAGACCCAGAAUUUGCCUUAUAAGUAUAUACUUGAAGAUAAAUUACCCGCAGACCAUGUAACUUCGGAUGUUUUGAUACAUCUGAUAAGUAACUUGACUAGGAUUAGUUUUCAAGUAGUAAUUUGGUUGUGAGUAGUCAAAUGUUUGACUUGCGUGUGUUCUCUUCUUGAAGGUUAGGAUCAAGACUAGAAGCUGGUCAUGGUAGUAUGUGCUACCUUGCUGCUCUGGAAGCUGAGGAUCCCUUGAGCUCAAGAGUUUGAGACUAGCUUGGGCAACGGAGAGAGACCCUAACUUUUUAGACUAGACAAAUGCUGUGGUCUCAAGGUUUGCCCCUGCUUCAUAUGUCGAAAUCCUACCCUUUAAUGUGAUGGCAUUAGAAAUGGGUCCUUUAGGAGGUGAUUUGGUCUUGAGGGCAGUGUUCUCAUGACUGGAACUAGUGCCCUUAUAAAAGAGACCCCGGCAAGAAGAUGCUGCUACAAACAAGAAAGCGGGUGUUUAUGAGACACCAAUUCUGCCUUAAUCUUGGACAUCCCAGCCUCCAGAACUGCGAGAAAUAAAUUUCUGCUAUUAUAAACUAGCCAGUCUGUGGUAUUUUGCUAUUGAAAGCCGAAAGGACUAAGACAGCAAACAUAAGAGUUAUAAACAUGAAUGUGUCUAACUGUAUAUUUUGUUUACUCGAAGGCUAAGUCUUUGGUUAAAGGGAGUCAAUUUCAAGUGGUUACCUAAGGAAAUUUGGUAAAAAUUCCACUGAGGUGAGUACUGCUUCAGAAAACAACAUAGCAAAGUAUUCCCCACCUGGAAGUGAGGUUAGUGAUUGAUGGAGUUUAUGUUUGGUAGUUUUCCUCCUCAUCUUCUUAUCUUCUAUGCUCAGGGUCCACUAUCUGUGUUCAUAGACGAGGUGGGGUUUGGGGAAAAGGGGGAUUUGUACCAUUUUACCUUGCCCAUCUGUGGCCAAUGCUCAGUGAGACCAUUUACAAAUCUCUGCUCUGCAGGCGCUAAGAACUCCACCUGUAAGAACAAUAAUAGCUAACGCUUAUGUGGUAGGAACCUGUCUACGUACUUGAAUCAUCACUUCAUCCUAUGAGAUACGAAGCUAAUAAUUUGCCACUACUGCCCUUGAGGUGUCUUGUCCACCAGGGGAAAUAGAUGCAGCCGUUCAUUCAUUUGUUCCUUCCUUCAGUGAUGAUGAGCACUUGCUCUGUAUCAAGAACUACCUACCCUCAGAGCUUGGUGGACAUCUUGUCCCUAUGGAACUUAACAAACUGUCAUGAAAUGUGGCAGAUGCAAGAUGGACACAGACAGUUGUCCAGGCUGGCCUUGAACUCAACAUCCUCCUGCCUCAGCAUCCCGAGUAGCUGGGAUGACAAGUGAGCAUUUUCAAGCUUCUCCAGUGGAAUUGGCCACUUGUCCUGCAGUCACCUGCUGUGGACACUGGAGGCUCACAAGCUCAAAGGCUGUACCCCUCCUGAGGAUGGACACAUGGGUGGGGAUUUUAUAUGCUGCUUUACUUGUCAUCUGAUUCAACUAAAGCCUUCUGUCUCCUUUGAGAUGGGUGUAUGAAGUGCAGUUUUCCUUUCACACCCAUACUUUUUAAAGAUGCCCUGGAUUGAGCCAAGGAGGAGGCCCGGUGCAGCUGGCAGGUGGCCUUGGGGAUGGUGACAUGGGCCAGCCUCCCUGCAGUAGCUCUUUCUACCAGAUGCUGAACAGCUGUUCAUCAGAGCAAACGCUGCAGACAGCUGCCCCUAGCCUUCUCAAGGAACCAAUGACACAAGUUAGCAAAGCAUUGGAUUAGAGCCCAGGGAGUCUCUGCCUUGCUUGCUAUUUAUAGCAACAUCUGUCCUAAGGCAGCUCUGUGUACAGGAGAGAAUUUCUGAGCAGACUUGCUUCCAAUAAAUUUUCAAUAGUAAUUCUUAUAAAAAGCAUGACCUGUCCCUGUCCAGACUUGAGCAGGGCAAUAGUAGUAUUGAAAAACUGUGUCACAAAGAAGCUUGGAGGGGACCGGAGCCUGUUAGGUAGUAUAAGACUCUUGCAUGGUGUCUGCCACCAGAUCAGCUGCCACAUCUCAGAAUCCAUGCUGCCUUGUGACUCACUACCUAACUCCUGCAUGUGGGCUGAAAUUUGAAGAUGGGAGGAAGGUAAAUAAUCAAACAGUUGUCAUAGACAUGCCCUUUGUUGGACUCAUGAAGAUCCCGGUGCUGAAUACUUCUGAGGAUAAUGUUCUCCCUAAUGCCAGGGAUGACUAAUAUUUCUUAACAGUAUCAGUUUUAUCAUCAGGCAAUUUCAAAAGAGGUGAGCUCAGUUAAAAUAUUGUAGUUGGAAAUAAUGUUUCUUCAGGCUUCGAGUUCCUUCCAAAACAUACACAUC